GUAGGGUGCGAGCGUUGUCCGGAAUUACUGGGCGUAAAGAGCUCGUAGGUGGUUUGUCGCGUUGUCCGUGAAAUCCCACGGCUUAACUGUGGGCGUGCGGGCGAUACGGGCAGACUGGAGUACUGCAGGGGAGACUGGAAUUCCUGGUGUAGCGGUGGAAUGCGCAGAUAUCAGGAGGAACACCGGUGGCGAAGGCGGGUCUCUGGGCAGCUACUGACGCUGAGGAGCGAAAGCGUGGGGAGCGAACAGGAUUAGAUACCCUGGUAGUCCACGCCGUAAACGGUGGGUACUAGGUGUGGGUUCUUUCCUAAGGAUCCGUGCCGUAGCUAACGCAUUAAGUACCCCGCCUGGGGAGUACGGCCGCAAGGCUA
rnacentral:rRNA from 1 species